CGAACGGGUGAGUAACGCGUGGGUAACCUGCCUUAUAGUGGGGGAUAACUAUUGGAAACGAUAGCUAAUACCGCAUAACAAUAGAGAUUGCAUAAUCUUUAUUUGAAAGUGCCAACUGGUACACUAUGAGAUGGACCCGCGUUGUAUUAGCUAGUUGGUAGUGUAAUGGACUACCAAGGCGAUGAUACAUAGCCGACCUGAGAGGGUGAUCGGCCACAUUGGGACUGAGACACGGCCCAAACUCCUACGGGAGGCAGCAGUAGGGAAUCUUCGGCAAUGGACGAAAGUCUGACCGAGCAACGCCGCGUGAGUGAAGAAGGUUUUCGGAUCGUAAAACUCUGUUGUUAGAGAAGAAUGUUGAUUAGAGUGGAAAAUUAAUCAAGUGACGGUAUCUAACCAGAAAGGGACGGCUAACUACGUGCCAGCAGCCGCGGUAAUACGUAGGUCCCGAGCGUUGUCCGGAUUUAUUGGGCGUAAAGCGAGCGCAGGUGGUUUAAUAAGUCUGAUGUAAAAGGCAGUGGCUCAACCAUUGUGUGCAUUGGAAACUGUUAGACUUGAGUGCAGUAGAGGAGAGUGGAAUUCCAUGUGUAGCGGUGAAAUGCGUAGAUAUAUGGAGGAACACCGGUGGCGAAAGCGGCUCUCUGGACUGUCACUGACACUGAGGCUCGAAAGCGUGGGUAGCAAACAGGAUUAGAUACCCUGGUAGUCCACGCCGUAAACGAUGAGUGCUAGUUGUUUGGGGCUAUCCAGCCCUAAGUGACGCAGCAAACGCAUUAAGCACUCCGCCUGGGGAGUACGACCGCAAGGUUGAAACUCAAAGGAAUUGACGGGGGCCCGCACAAGCGGUGGAGCAUGUGGUUUAAUUCGAAGCAACGCGAAGAACCUUACCAGGUCUUGACAUACUCGUGCUA
rnacentral:rRNA from 1 species